rnacentral:rRNA from 1 species
CCUACGGGCGGCAGCAGUGGGGAAUAUUGGACAAUGGGGGCAACCCUGAUCCAGCCAUGCCGCGUGUGUGAAGAAGGCCCUCGGGUUGUAAAGCACUUUCAGUGAGGAAGAACGCCUGGUGGUUAAUACCCAUCAGGAAAGACAUCACUCACAGAAGAAGCACCGGCUAACUCCGUGCCAGCAGCCGCGGUAAUACGGAGGGUGCGAGCGUUAAUCGGAAUUACUGGGCGUAAAGCGCGCGUAGGUGGCUUGAUAAGCCGGUUGUGAAAGCCCCGGGCUCAACCUGGGAACGGCAUCCGGAACUGUCAAGCUAGAGUGCAGGAGAGGAAGGUAGAAUUCCCGGUGUAGCGGUGAAAUGCGUAGAGAUCGGGAGGAAUACCAGUGGCGAAGGCGGCCUUCUGGACUGCCACUGACACUGAGGUGCGAAAGCGUGGGUAGCAAACAGGAUUAGAUACCCCAGUAGUC